GCCUACGGGAGGCAGCAGUAGGGAAUCUUCCACAAUGGACGAAAGUCUGAUGGAGCAACGCCGCGUGAGUGAAGAAGGGUUUCGGCUCGUAAAGCUCUGUUGGUAGUGAAGAAAGAUAGAGGUAGUAACUGGCCUUUAUUUGACGGUAAUUACUUAGAAAGUCACGGCUAACUACGUGCCACCAGCCGCGGUAAUACGUAGGUGGCAAGCGUUAUCCGGAAUUAUUGGGCGUAAAGAGUACGUAGG
rnacentral:rRNA from 1 species